CUUUUAUAAUUUAUGAAAACAAAACCUUUCAUCUACAAAGUUCUCAAUUAUUGUUAUCUAAUUGAGUAACAAAUAUCAGUUUUGUUACAUGAAGCCUUCUGGCCCUAUGAAUUGAUAUCUAAAACAUUAUCAUUGCGGUUUGCUCAAGUAUAAUCUUACAAAAAUAUUUACUCUGCCCUUCCCUUCUCCAAAUUAUUCUCCAGAAGGUAGACCUAUGAAGCUGUUAUCAAGAGGUGCCAAUCUAUGGGAUCAAGCUACACAUAAGCACGAGUUGGGUUUGUGUAGAAAAACUAAUCCGUCGGUUUAACGGUAAUAAUAUCCAAGAUAUUAGUUAUUUUUUUGCGGGUUAACCCUUGAUGGUAUGUUUUGACCGGUACUAAUAAGUGGCCCUGUUCAACUAUAACCCGAAUUGCCUGACCCGUCAAUCUUGCUACACCUGUUUUAUAUACAACAUAUAUAAGACCAGAAAAGGCUUGCAUACUUGAACGAGUGAGUCAUUUUUUUACAAUGGUAUAUUAGUAAUUUGGUAUACUAUGCCAGAUCUUAACAUGUUUAUUUUGACAGCCGCAUAUCUGUUUUUGUAUCACAACUUUUCAGGGUAUUAAUAAUGUUUAUUAUGAGAUAGAAUACCGGAGAAAAUGGUGUACCAGCAAGGAAAACAUUACCCUUUCUCCCUUCUUGCUUGGAAUUUACUCGUCAUGUUGCUAUGCGUUUUCUUAAUCUGAUAAUGCUUUAUCAACCCGGGCACACGAACUGCCAACAGAGGCUCGCAGCCAGCAUCCCAUGAAUAAUGGAAUGGGUCCCUACUUUGACAUUGGGGGGAAGUUCUGUAGCUAUACUUAAAAAGCAUCUUGCUUUAUGCACCGUGUACUACACAAGUUAUGAAAAAUGAUUCUGAGGCAAGUAAUCUACAGUAUACUCAUGUCUUCAGUACCAAUGGAAAAACCUUUAGUAACAGGAAACAAGACUAUAGGGUCUGCCAAUAUAAUUGGGUCGCGGAAACGCACUGUAAAAACAAUAAAAGACGGCUUCCACAGGACCACAGGUUAAGCUCUAUCCUGACAAGUAGUAGUUUAUACAUAAUAUCUGACGAACAUAUUGUGUAUAAGUUUCUACUCAUCACGUGUAUCCAUUUAUGUUUCGGACCUCGCCGGUUAACACUUGAAGCCAAGGUAUCUAGCAUGAGAAUCUUUUAACUUCUCAAGGUAGCCAUGACCUUUUUAUAUAUGUUCAGAUUUCUGAGUCGUUAUAAAGGUAGGAAGCAUACUAACCAUGCUCUUUUAAGAGGGCCCAACAGAUGUAAAUUACAGCAUACAAUUAUAUUAUGUUCGUGCUAAUGUUUAGAUCCAUUCUAAAUGAACCAUUGUUGAUAGGCAACGCAUUAUCAGCCCGUUGGCAAUAAUCAUGAAAUGAGGCUUUCACCUCCAACCACAAGUAUUAGGAAAAAGAACACAAAAGGUAUCUACAUAAGAACCCCUAAAAGGGCGGCAUUUUUCUCAAGAGAAGAUUUGGGUCUCUGUAUGGGGAUGUAAUGAUGUUCCGAUAAGGCUAUUUGAGCAUGAGGCAGUUUCGUUGUUUUUAACGUAUAAUCUUUUUGCCCCCACUAUCUUAAUUUUCUGGAUCCGCUGUAUACUGUGAACAACUUGAGCGAAGUAAUUGAGAGCUUAAGAUGGAUGCUCAUAUGCAAAGGUUUAGAUGAAAGUGCAAUGAUGCAGUUGGGCAUGAAGUAUUUGACAGAUCGACAGUUGAAAGAUAGUGGAGUGAAACAUAAUUCAAGUUUUCUAGAUAAUGAUGACGAUUGAUUUGGAUCAUAGAUGCAUGAUUGCUCCAUCUGUGAUUUUUAGUAUUAGAAUAAUAGAAGUGGUGAAUACGUGAACUCAUGAGGUAUAUGACUUGAAGUGAUUUAGUGUGUAGUUUUUUUUUGUUAAGUAUGGUUUAUAUAGUUUGUAUACUGUUGUCAUCAAUGGGCAUGUCCAUUGAUUGACCAAAAGAAGUGAAUUGUAUAGUUUGAAUGAUGUUGAUAAAA